UUUGGUUCUCCUUUCCUGUUCUCUGGUUUCCAUCAAAACAAGCCUUUUCUGGUCUUGUCUUUUCUUCCCUCACUUUAGGGUGCUGCCUGGCUGGAUAUUACGUCACCAGUGUUUCCUGAGUGCUUCUCUCAAUGUUCCCUGAGGAUCUGCAGUGCUUCUCUCCGUGUAUUUGACAAGCUGAGUUCGACACUCAAUGUGGCAGAGUGUCAGUUUGUCAAAUAUGCAAAGUGCGGCAUUUGCCCAGCAACGUUGAGCAUCCAGCAAGUCAUCACAGGACCUCUCCGCAGAGCAGGAGUCAUUGCUGGCAAAGAGGGAUGCGGGGAGCUCUAUGAAUGGCAGAGUUUGGUAUUGUUAUGAGUUUGUGGGGUGUGAGAUACCUAAGCUAUUAGAUCAAAUAAAAGUUAGAAUUAAUCAAGGUUUAGGGAGUUAAACUGUGCCAAACAUUGAAGCCCUGGAUGCAGUUUAUGUUAACAUGUAUCCCAAUAUGAUGUUAGGUGGUUUGUUCAAAUGUUUCCAGAUGUUUCUAGCUGACUUUGUGGGGGGCAUUGCUAAGGUUUUCUGGAUGUUUUUAUAAAUGGACCAUGGCCAUGUUUAAAUGUUGCUUCUUUUACAUUGCACUAGUUGUGCGGAGUGGAAUUGGAUCACAAUAUUCUACUUCAUGCAUUUAUGCUUUGAAGAAAAUGGGAAGGUCCACACCAUGUUUGCAGGUACGUCAUAAAUAGGAAGCUCAGGCUAUACUGUGUGCACCUAAGCACACAAACACACAGGCAGAGCCCUCUGUAUUUUCUGUAGCCAGCAGCUGUGACAGCAAAGCAUGGUCUCCAUCAAGGCCAAUGCCAGCAUUCCAAGAUCUGGUGCCCACCAGAAAUUCUUGUGCUGUCAAUCCCAUCAGCCCCAGCAAGCAUGACCAGUUGUCAGAGAUGAUGGGAGGAGCUGUAGACCAAAACAUCUGAGGAGCACCAGGUUGGGAAAGGGUGGUCAGAGUGGUAAAGGUCUGUUGUGUGAACUGCUCCAUUUCCGUUGGUUCAGCAGACUGAAACAGCAUCAGUACAGUGGUGAUAGUUAUUGCUGUAAUGAUAUUCUGAAAUGUUUGCAUGCACUUAAAGAUGCUUCAAAGUGUAUUCCAUGUGGCAAUGGAUUUAUUGUGUGACGAUGUUGCAGUUAAUGUUGACACUACUGACUGAAUGCACAAAGGUGGGGGGAACUGGAUUGUGUCCAUUGCCCUCUCCUCCACAUCUCUAUUUACCAUAAUAUCCAAAAGAAAUGGCUUGGGAUCCAAAUACUAUUAAGAGCAUUCUGCUCUUAAGACAUUCUGCUAUGGCCCAGUUCUGAGGGUCUCUCUUCUUGGGAGGAGAUGGCUUUCUUGCUAAGGGGGGCCAUGUGGAAUUGCAUAACUAAGGGGGUAUGGUUAGUUCCUCCUUUGCAAUCUCUUUGGACCUGGUUAGUACGUUUCUAUUUAUUCAAGCAUUUUAAAUUUGUACAAUUCCUCAGGCUGCCUAAUAACUUUAAUUUGCUGUCAUUUAUUAUGGUUGAAUAAUGUUAGAGUUUUAUUGUGUAGUAUUAGGUUUUAACUAAUUUAUACUGUUAAAGAUUUUGGGGGACCCCACUAAACCCUAGAAAUUAAUAAAUGGUGGCAGAUUAUUUAAAGGGAAGAUUGCAGGCCAGUGGAAAAGGCCAGGCCAGGCUUCCUUUCCAAGACAGGGCGUCACAUGACACAAAGUGUUGAUGGCCCAUCAAAGAGGAAAUUUGGGCAGACAGAGGUUGCCAUGGUGAUGGGGUGUGUAUUUGAAGUGACAGGAAAGGGGAGUCUUUAGGGCAAGGUGUGCUGGGAAGAAGAAGGGGAAGAACAACGAGGGAGAUCCACCUUGGGCAGGUUGGCUGAAGGCUGGCUGGGAAAGAUGUAUUUGACUCCAGGGCUGCACUGCUAUCAGGAACAAGCUAUGUUUGAGAUGACUGUGCUGUAAGAUCUGGACCCUGCCCACUCAGACUGAAGUUGUAAAUAGGUGAAUAAACCAUAUUUCUUAAAGCUACAA